CUAGCCUCGGUCUCUUGGAAGAAAAACUGUUGGCGAAGACAGACGUGCUAUUUUUGUCCAGUCCAAGUAUAAAGAAAAAAAAAAGAGGAAUAAAAACCGGGAAAAGAUCUUAACAGCUGAAUACAGCAAAAAGAAAGAAAUAUUGUGCGUUUAUAAAGUAAAAGUGUGUUAAGUGCCAAUCUCAAUUGGAAAUUAAUUUUUCAGGUUGGCGGUUAGUACCGGCUUAAACUCCGGGCAAUCGUUUGGGUACCUGUCUGAACCCCAAUACGAAAGCUCGCAACAACAAUUUCCCCGAUAUUAGGGCCUCCGCCCGCGGCAAGGGACUUAUGCUCCUCUCCCAACUACAGCUCCGUACCAAAAAUUCCCAGCGCUAGGCCGAGCAGCACAAAGCCACUUAUGUGUCACGGACCCGCGAUAUAUUGGAGGCCGUCCAAUUCUGCGGAAAUUAUUAAAGCUAUGUAAACGGUCAGCCAAUUUCUACCCGAAAUAUAGAUCUGGGUCUCGACCUAUUUUCGUUUCCCCAUACGAAGUGCCGAGGAGUGCCCAGAUGUGAAGCCGGCGGCAACGACUGUCGUUUUUUUUUAUAUCCAUCAGUGUAACCGCUGAUUCCUAUUUUUAUGCUAUAGUGUCAUUAGUGUAAUUAGCUUAGUAAAUUUCUUUUGGUUGUGUUUUUAAAUUCUGUUCGGAAGAAAUAGCAAGUGGAAUGUGUGACAGGGCGAAAGUGAACAACGGUUAAACGGCAGAGGAGAGCGUGAGUUUUUUUUUGUAAAAGUAUUUCUCCAGCUUUCGUUUUAGGAACGUUGCCGCAGUCCAUGGAAGCGCUUUCAUCGCUGUUUCAACGCAUUUAUUAAAACAAAUCAAAGGAAGGCCUCAGGGGCUUCGUCGCUUAAGAGAGGCUGUGCGCUCUCCCUUAUGCCCUGCUGGCAACCAUAAGCGCUUACGCCGCCCAUAAGAACCAGCCCUCUUAAGAACAAGGCACAAAAGGGAAGAUGCGAGGCUGGUCGCUCUGACGUUCUUUUAUGCUUUCUACUUGCGGUUGCUUUCGCUAAUGCACUUGAAUACCUGACCUGCCAUAACGAUCGCGGCGCACAGUUUUUACAUU